UUUCUUUUUCCCAGAGGAAGAAAGUGGACAAUUUGACACUUGGUUCCUGAAGUUAACCGUUUCUUUGCCUCAUGCAUUCUUCUAACUAUUGUGGUUAAAAAAUGAGUCAAAUUCUGAUGUUUUGCAAUGGUACGCUAUGCUUGGUGGAGCUCCAGCUGAUUUUAGCCAAUUACAGUUCAAGAUCCUAUUUGCAGUAAAAAAACAAAGGGUUGUUGUGAUUCUAAGUUGCUGGCCUACUACAGUUGUUUUUCAAAAGUUUCUGCGACUGUCUUGCUGAGUUUCUGCGAUUUUUUAAGAUGGGUUAGUGCCCAAAUAUGGAAUUUUGUUGCUGAAGAAUCUGUUAAAGCCUUUCCAAG